rnacentral:tRNA from 1 species
ACGGAUAUAGUUUAAUGGUAAAAUAAUGGUCUCCAAAACCUUUGAUGAGGGUUCGACUCCUUCUAUCCGUG